GCGGUCUGGUGCCCGCAGCCGCGGGAAUUCCAGCCCCAAGAGAGUAUAUUAAAGUUGUUGCAAUUAAAAAUGCCCCCAUUGAACUUUGGGCUUGGCUGGCCGGUCCGUUUUUUAACGAGUACUGGUUUUCAGCCGAACCUUUCCUCCUGGUUUCUGUGUAUUUGGGCUUGUCUCAGCUGCAUAUGAUCCAGGACUAUUACUUUGAAAAAAUUAGAGUGUUCAAAGCCGGCCUUUGCUCGAAUAUAUGAACAUGGAAUCAUAAAAUACGACGUAUGGGUCUAUUUUGUUGGUUUCCAGGACCAUCGUAAUGAUUAAUAGGGACGGUCGGGGGCAUCCUGAUUCAACUGUCAUAUGUGAAAUUGUAGCAUUUAUUGCAGACUAACUACUGCCAAAACUUUUGCCC
rnacentral:rRNA from 2 species